GACGAACGCUGGCGGCGUGCUUAACACAUGCAAGUCGAGCGGUAAGGCCCUUCCGGGGGUACGACGAGCGGCGAACGGGUGAGUAACACGUGGGUGACCUGCCCUCAGCUCUGGGAUAAGCCUGGGAAACCGGGUCUAAUACCGGAUAUGACUCCAUGACGCAUGUUGUGGGGUGGAAAGCCUUGUGCGGCUGAGGAUGGGCCCGCGGCCUAUCAGCUUGUUGGUGGGGUGAUGGCCUACCAAGGCGACGACGGGUAGCCGGCCUGAGAGGGCGACCGGCCACACUGGGACUGAGACACGGCCCAGACUCCUACGGGAGGCAGCAGUGGGGAAUCUUGCGCAAUGGGCGAAAGCCUGACGCAGCGACG
rnacentral:rRNA from 1 species